ensembl:lincRNA
CAUGAUGGCAUACAGUAAAGUAUCGCAAAAGAUUUGCCACAAAUGUUUUACACAGGAACUAAGAAAUGGAAAUCCUAAGCCCUCAGGACAGUGGCUGGGUGGGGGUGAUUGAGCCCCUGGGAUAGUUGAUUCUACCAUCAGUUGACAGGUUCGUUCUGGGAUGGUUGAUUCUAGUAAGUUUACCACAAUGUGCCAUACCAACACAUCAUAUUUUCUUUUGUUUAUAUCAGAUUUUCUAUGAUAAGUAUCUAUAUGUAUAAGGGUUGACAGUUUACAUUUUUCUAGAUGAUUAAAAAGAAAAGGCUAGGACGCAUUGGUCUAUUGCAUGGUCAAAACACAGCCUUCAGAAUUAAACAGACCUGUUCAAAGCCUAGUUCUGCCUCUUUCUAGCUGGGUGAAUAUGGACUUUUUGGUGAUAUCAUUAAAAUAACAGUACUCACAUAAGGAGAGUACUUACUUCGGUUGGAUAAGGCAUUUAAAGAUAUCUGGCAAAGAUAAGCACAGACAAUAAAACUCCCAUGGAUUAGAUUUGUUGAUAACCUAGACAUUUUCUAUAUUACACAGAUGCUGUGUAUGCCCUGGGCAACCAGGAAGUGCAUUUAAAAUAAGAGAACCAACAGAAGGCACUUCUGUAAGUGGGUGAAGGAGUGUUCAGGUUAUUGUAACCAACGUAACCCAGACAGCUUAGCCUACUGGCACCUUGGUCCACUAAAGGUUUUCGGUGAUGUAUAUUCUGUUUACAUUUCAGGAAUAGACUCCAUGCACAUUGGCAAAAUGCCCAAGCUUCCAGAAAAAGGGAUCAGGAAACAAAAAGUCUCAUCAGCAAGAUUUCCUCUGAAACAAAGUGCAGAGGAAAAAGAUGAGAGUAAAGAGUACCUUCGAUACCGGAACACUUUCCUAAAACUGAAAGGUGUCUUUAAGCCUGUGCCUCUCUUUCGCACCCAGAAGACCCCAGGCAGCAAUCCGUCCUUCAGGCUUCCUCCUCCUCCCAUUAAGAACAAGGAUGCAUGGUUUGAUCCUCGGCUGCUCUGUCCUGUGGUCCUCAGGAGGAUAUUGUGUGGGCAGGAAGGGGGCACAUGCCAGUGUAGCACUUACAGCGUCCCUGAAGUGACAGACCUAGAGUAUGAUCACCUUAUAAGCCACCGGCUGUCCUCCACGGAUCAGCUCAUUGUAGUCCACGUGUUCUCAGCUAGCAACGUGGACAAGACUACAAAAGAAAUGGCCAAAGUGUACAGAAAACUGAACAGAUGUAAAAGCAUGCCUUGCCUUCAGGUGAGUGUCAUGUGUAUUAAGACAUAUUGUGACUAAUGUUUACUUGCUCUUACAUCUUAAGACAUGUCCUCAGCCACACAAAAGGCCAUGGAGGAAUUUCUGCCCCACUUUUUCAAUUGAGGUAUGACCUUCAUAUAAUAGAGGUCACACAUCUUAAGGGCAUAUAGCUUAAUUAAUGUUUAUAUAUGUGUACACCUAUAUGAUGACCGCCCAGAUCAAGACACAGAGUACUCCCAGGCCCAAAAAUGCUCCCUUUUGCCCUUUUCAGUCAGUAGCCCACCUACCUCCUGCCCCUGGGAACCACUUUUCUGACUUCCAUCACCAUAAAUCAGUUUCGUCUGUUUUAGACCUUCAUAUCCAUGGAAUCACAGUGUACACAUUUUGAAACACACAGUACGUUGUUGUGCUUCUUUUGCCAGAGACUCGGAAGGUCAAUACCAGGCAUGUCAGCAUCCUCGCAUCUUGCCCCCAUGAUGGACACUACUAACCCAGCAUCCUUUUCAGCCGAGCCUAGACUGGGCCCUAAACUCCUUUCCCUGACUGCACUGCAAGCAGCCUCUACCAGCUGACCCGAGUAGUAACUCGUGAAGCCUUUUCCCCACGAGAGCCUUUACUCUCAACACAUUUAAUGAGUAUCCUCUAAGCCUAGUUGAUUCUAUCACUGUGACAUUUUUUCACAUUUGAGCCUUUUUUCCAAUUCCAUUGUGUCUGCCUAUUUCAGGCUUUCGUCACCUCCCAUCUGAUUCUCUCCAGUGACCUCUCUGAUGAGUUUUCCUGCCUUUGGUCUUGGCGCCCCUGGUAUUUGUUAUAUGUUGCUGGGUGUUCUUUUUAAUAUACGGACACGAGGGCAUCAUUCUCCUGCUGACAGUCUUCUAAGGACGUCCCUUCAGGCCAAAUCCAAUUUCUUUAGUAUUACAUUGAGGUCCCCCUCCUAGUGGGGCUCUUUCCACCCUGACUGCUCAGUUCCCUGUCCCAAACCCAGUGAUAGCCCCAGGGGAUAUAUUAAAGAACCUUUGCAGAGUCCAGGUCUGAAGCUGGUGGGAGCUAAGGACUUGGGCCACGUUGCCCUUUGUGGACAUGCUGCCACUAAGUGGCCUUUUAAGAUGUUGCCCUAAGUAGCCCUGAACUUCUUUUGAGGGAUGUUACAAUAUAUUUUCCAGCCUAGUGUCCCCUAUUUGAAGCCCAAAGUGAAAAUUGUCUUUCUGAAUGAGAAGCUUUACUUCCCAUCGAAAAAAAAAUUUUUUUUUUAGAUUUUUAUUUAUUUAUUUAAUAGAGAGAUCACAAGUAGGCAGAG